CCUACGGGAGGCAGCAGUGGGGAAUAUUGGUCAAUGGGCGCGAUCCUGACCCAGCCACGCCGCGUGAAGGAAGACGGCCCUAUGGUUUGUAACCCUCUUUUGUCGGAGCACAACACCCGAGACGUGUCCCGGAAUACGUGUAUCCGAAGAAAGAGCAUCGGCUAGCUCCGUUCCGGCGGCCGCGGUAAUACGGGGGAUGCGAGCGUUAUCGGGGUUUAUUGGGUUUAAGGGGUGCGUAGGCGGUCCGUGAAGUCAGCGGUAAAAUUGCGGGGCUCAACCACGUCGAGCCGUUGAAACUGGCAGACUUGAGUUGGGGAGAAGUACGCGGAAUGCGCGGUGUAGCGGUGAAAUGCAUAGAUAUAGCGCAGAACUCCGAUUGCGAAGGCAGCGUACCGGCGACAGACUGACGCUGAGGCACGAAAGCGUGGGGAUCGAACAGGAUUAGAUACCCGAGUAGUC
rnacentral:rRNA from 1 species